CAGCAGUCGCCACGGGAAUACGGAGGGUGCAAGCGUUAAUCGGAAUUACUGGGCGUAAAGCGCACGCAGGCGGUCUGACAAGUCAGAUGUGAAAUCCCCGGGCUUAACCUGGGAACUGCAUUUGAAACUGUCAGGCUGGAGUCUUGUAGAGGGGGGUAGAAUUCCAGGUGUAGCGGUGAAAUGCGUAGAGAUCUGGAGGAAUACCGGUGGCGAAGGCGGCCCCCUGGACAAAGACUGACGCUCAGGUGCGAAAGCGUGGGGAGCAAACAGGAUUAGAUACCCCGGUAGUCCCUGUCUCUUAUAC
rnacentral:rRNA from 1 species